GCAUAUCAAUAAGCGGAGGAAAAAGAAAACCAACAGGGAUUGCCUCAGUAACGGCGAGUGAAGCGGCAAGAGCUCAAAUUUGAAAGCUGGCUCCUUCGGGGUCCGCAUUGUAAUUUGCAGAGGAUGCUUCGGGAGCGGCCCCCAUCUAAGUGCCCUGGAACGGGCCGUCAUAGAGGGUGAAAAUCCCGUCUGGGAUGGGGUGUCCGCGCCCGUGUGAAGCUCCUUCGACGAGUCGAGUUGUUUGGGAAUGCAGCUCUAAAUGGGUGGUAAAUUUCAUCUAAAGCUAAAUAUUGGCCGGAGACCGAUAGCGCACAAGUAGAGUGAUCGAAAGAUGAAAAGCACUUUGAAAAGAGAGUUAAACAGCACGUGAAAUUGUUGAAAGGGAAGCGCUUGCGACCAGACUCGCCCACGGGGUUCAGCCGGCAUUCGUGCCGGUGUACUUCCCCGCGGGCGGGCCAGCGUCGGUUUGGGCGGCCGGUCAAAGGCCCUCGGAAUGUAACGCCCCCCGGGGCGUCUUAUAGCCGAGGGUGCCAUGCGGCCAGCCCAGACCGAGGAACGCGCUUCGGCUCGGACGCUGGCAUAAUGGUCGUAAGCGACCCGUCUUGAAACACGGACCAAGGAGUCUAACAUCUACGCGAGUGUUCGGGUGUCAAACCCGUGCGCGCAGUGAAAGCGAACGGAGGUGGGAACCCCUCGGGGUGCACCAUCGACCGAUCCUGAUGUCUUCGGAUGGAUUUGAGUAUGAGCGUAGCUGUUGGGACCCGAAAGAUGGUGAACUAUGCCUGAAUAGGGUGAAGCCAGAGGAAACUCUGGUGGAGGCUCGCAGCGGUUCUGACGUGCAAAUCGAUCGUCAAAUUUGGGUAUAGGGGCGAAAGACUAAUCGAACCAUCUAGUAGCUGGUUCCUGCCGAA
rnacentral:rRNA from 1 species